GAUCAUGACCUAAGCGAAAGUCGGACGCUUAACCGACUAAGCCACCAAGGCGUCCCUCCUGGAUCUCUUUACCCACAGUUCUAAGAUCUCAGUUUUAGUUUAGUGAACGGUAGCAUCAAGAAAUGUCUGUAUUAACAGGAUCAAUGCAUACUGUUGAGAACUUUGGAAUAUAUCGAGUGGUUAGCAGGGCUCUAAUUUCAAGAACAGAGGCACUAUCAAAGUAUAUGUGACCUGAUGAGCUUGACCAGCUUAGUAUCUAGAAAUUAAAACUUUGUCACAAGAGUAGAUACUAAAUUCUCUCUGAGCGUGCACUCCCUGGAAUUUCAAACCGGGAAGAGAAAAAAAAAAUUCUUCUCUAUAUACAGAAUAAAAACAUAGAAAAUAUACUGCUCAGGAAGCAGUAAGAUAGAUUUUAUAAUCUGUACUUAAUUCAGGGAGCUUGCUAAGAUCUCUAGGUAUUUUCAAGUAUAGUUAAGUUUUAGAUAGAUAUGUGGCAUUGCACCACUUUAUAAAUAAUGUUUGGUGUACAUUUUUAAUAAAUCAUAUUUUCUCCUUGUUGAUUUCUAAACCUCUCCAUUUCCACACUUCACUAGAGUGCUUCACAUGAGUUUAGUGAAAGGCUAGCAGACAAUGAGCACUGUAUCACUACUGAUACAUAUAUGUUCAAGAAUUUUGCCUGAGUGUGUAUCAAUCUGGAUGAAGAGUAUAAAAUAAUAAUAUAAAAAAGAACUACAUUUGGUCUCCAUCUUCAGACUUAGUCACUGAAAUCAUCGUUGUAUUCCUCAUUUGUGAUCUGUGAUUAUAUACAUAUUUUUACCACAUUAUUGCUCAUUUGGUAACUCCUCUUUGUUUUAUAUUUCAAAGUUUUCAUCUUAAUCAAGUUUCACUGACCGUUGUCUUAAUAACAAAGAUGCUUUGCACUGAGGAAGCAAAUUCAAAAAUGGUAACGCCAUUGUGAUCCAGAGUUCAAGGUGAUAUGGCUUUAUUCAGGGCGAAGUGUGAGUGAAGAAGAAACUGAAGGUCUGAGAACGUUUUGCAGCCGCUUCUUCAAAAAGCCAAAUUUGAGAUAAAUCAAACGUUUAAAAUGUAAGAUAUUCCAUAUUGGCAGGAAAUAACCUGAUAAAUGACUGAUAAACAACCUGACAUGGGGUGAUGGCUUCAAGAAAGUGGCGGACUCCUGAGAGGAUGGCUUUGAAAAACAUUUCGUUUUGAUCCUGUCAGUUGUGAUUACAGGGCUGCUUUAAUCACAAAGUACUGCAAAAAUUAAAAAAGAGAGAAAUACGCUGCCUGUUAUUUAAGAGUUAAAAUUGUUAUUUAACUAUGAGAAAUGAUUUUAUGACAAGCAUCAUUUCAAAAAAGCUGCAAAGUGCUCAAGAUUCCUCUCCAUGGGAUUCUAUAUCGCAUCUUGACAAGUCAGCCCUUCUGCAACCCCACCCGAAGCUGUGCUAAUGGUGAUCAAAACCUUAUUCAUCAAAACUUUAACAGCAGAAUGUCUCUCUGGCCUCUUGAGUUAUUGUUCUGCAAGGUGCAUUAAGCUUAGUACUCAUUACUAUCUACUUGACUUGUUACAUUAUUGUCUAGUAAAAUCGGAUCUUCAUCAAACUUGAUGAAAUGGGUAUGCCAUUCAUUCAACAAAUAUUUAUGGAGAGAUGUCUGUGCGUAAGACUGUGUGCUGAUCGCUGCACAUAAAACAUGGCCUCUGCCAUCGUGAAACUUGUGACACAUAUGAGGAUAGGACAGGGCGGGUGCUAGGGGAGAGAAACGUGAAAGGCACUGAGGGCAGAGAAACGGGCAUUAAAAUUAGCCUGGAAUGGCUGGAAACACUUCUCAAAAAAAGUGGCACUUGUGCUCUAUCCUGUCUAAAGCAUAUAAUUUGGUUGGAUGAGAACAUGGGCAGGGUUUUCCGCUUGAAAUAAAAUAUACAGUUUUGUCCCUUAUUAGCAUGGCCAAUGAAGGGCCGAUGAUGGAUUGAAUGCACUUUGCAUAUAUUUUAAUCCACGUGGGAAAGGAAAAAUAAAAUCACUUUAUAACCUACUGCACUGCAUAUUUUAAAUUACGGAGUCAAAAUAAAUAUGUCACUGUAGGCCGCGCGGCCGGCUGGCAUCUGGGACAUGGAGUGGCACCAGAGCUGAGUCUUCCCAUACGUAUCUGAGUCUAUUUUGGUCUCUAUUAGGCAAUCAGCAAAGUGAAUUGCUAUGGAUCUGCACAGAUAAGGAUGAAAGUGCAAUAUAUAGUCCUUAUCUUUCCUGACCAUAGCCAUUGUUCUUUGCUAGGUCUUGGUCUCUUUCUAUAGGGGUUUUCUAGAAGGUGAGCAUGAAGGAUUAAUUGGCUGAGGUAGGAGGCAUGGAGGAAAUGAAAUGCAAUGCUGCUUAAGACAGGAUUAAACAGCUGUAAAGAACUCACAUUUCCUCUUGCCCACAGAACUCAGAUUAUUCAUUCAUUUAAUAGAUUCAUUUCAAAAACUUUCAAGGGG